CGGGGGGGGCACCGGGGGGUCCUGGAGCAGAUCCGCGACGAGGAGCCUCGCCUGGCGCUGGAGCUGGAGCGGGGCCGCGAGCUGGAGCUGCUGGCGCUGCCCGAGGAGGUGCAGCGCUUCCUGCAGGCCCAGCGCCGCCCCGCGGGGGGGGCCAGCGCCACCGCCCCCCCCGGCCCCGGCGACACCACGGUGCUCUGAGACCCCCCGCCACCCCCCGGCCCCCCCCCGCGGACCUGCCCCCCCCCGCGGACCCCCGACCCCCCCCGACUCCCGACCCCCCCCCAACAACCUCCGCCCUCCCUGCGCUUUCCACCCCCCCCCCGGGGAGAUUUGGGGGGGGCCCUCGCGAAUGGGGGGGGGCCUUCAGGAUGGGGGGGGGGCUUGGGAAUUGGGGGGGCCCUUGGGAAGUUGGGGGCCCCCUUGGGAAGUGGGGGGGCCCUUCAGAAAAGGGGGGGCCCUUCAAAAUAGGAGGGGUCCCCUGGGAAUGUGGGGGGGCCCCUUUAAGGACCUGGGGGGGCCCCCUGGGAAUGUGGGGGCCCCUUUAAGGAUCUGGGGGGGCCCCCUGGGAAUCUGGGGGGGCCCUUCAGAGCUGGGGGGGCCCUUUCAGGAGCUGGGGGGGGCCCUGGAGACCUGGGGGGGGGGUCCCUUUGAGUUGGGGGGGCCCCUUGGGAACGUGGGGGGGGCCCCUUUAAGGAUCUGGGGGGGCCCUUGAGGUUUGGGGGGGGCCCUAGCCGACCUCAGAGGCCCCCCCCAAAAUUUAGGGACCCCCCCAAUAUUCCACCCCCCCCCGUUCUCCCAGGGCCCCCCCCACAUUUCAAAAGGGGGGGGGCUCCCUCCGCACCCCACUUCUGAGACCACUAAAGGGGGGGGGGGCCGACCCCCCCCCCAAAAACCUCACUUGACACUCCAACCCCCCCCCAAACCACCGCCAUUUUGGGGGGCCCCCCCCAAAAAUAACCCUGCCUAAAAGAGGGGGGGGUCACUUUUGGGGGGCCCCCCCAUUUUGGGGGUGCAAAGGGGGGGGGGCAGCCGCUUCCACAACACUAAAGCACCGAUUCCUCCGCGCUUCACUCGCCCCCCCCCCAAAAAAAAAAUUUGGGGGGGCCACGGGGGGAUUUCGGGGCCCCCCCCCACUUUGCCAGAAGGGGGGGGCCCCCCCCACCGCGUCACCCCCCCAAAUUUGGGGGGGGGCUGUGCUAAAAAGGGCUAUUUUUAUACUCCCCCCCCCCCCGGCCCCGAACCCCCCCGUCGCGGGGGUGUCUGUCUGUCCGGCUCUGCUGUCGGGGCCCCCCCCGGUUUCGGGGGGCCCCCCCCGGUUUCGGGGUGCCCCCCCCUUUGUACAAUAAGAGUCUUUUAUUCUUCUA